rnacentral:rRNA from 1 species
UACGUAGGGCGCAAGCGUUGUCCGGAAUUAUUGGGCGUAAAGAGCUCGUAGGCGGUCUGUCGCGUCGGAUGUGAAAAUCCAGGGCUCAACCCUGGACCUGCAUUCGAUACGGGCAGACUAGAGUUCGGCAGGGGAGACUGGAAUUCCUGGUGUAGCGGUGAAAUGCGCAGAUAUCAGGAGGAACACCGGUGGCGAAGGCGGGUCUCUGGGCCGAUACUGACGCUGAGGAGCGAAAGCGUGGGGAGCGAACAGG